UAGGGAAUCUUCCGCAAUGGACGCAAGUCUGACGGAGCAACGCCGCGUGAGUGAAGAAGGAUUUCGGUUCGUAAAACUCUGUUGUUAGAGAAGAACAGCGCAUAGAGUAACUGUUAUGCGUGUGACGGUAUCUAACCAGAAAGCCACGGCUAACUACGUGCCAGCAGCCGCGGUAAUACGUAGGUGGCAAGCGUUGUCCGGAUUUAUUGGGCGUAAAGCGAGCGCAGGCGGUCAAUUAAGUCUGAUGUGAAAGCCCCCGGCUCAACCGGGGAGGGUCAUUGGAAACUGGUUGACUUGCGUGCAGAAGAGGAGAGUGGAAUUCCAUGUGUAGCGGUGAAAUGCGUAGAUAUAUGGAGGAACACCAGUGGCGAAGGCGACUCUCUGGUCUGUAACUGACGCUGAGUCUCGAAAGCGUGGGUAGCAAACAGG
rnacentral:rRNA from 1 species